CUAUUUGACAUUCAUGUUAGUCUCCAUUGCUCACCAGUUUCUGUUCCACAUUCUGCCAUCACCAACAAUUUCGCUUUUCUCUCUGUAUUAUUAAUUAGCUAUAUUCAUCACCUUAAAACCUUUAAUUAGUAACGGCUUCCCUCCUCCUUACUUGGGCUCAACCGAUUAUCAUCGUACAUUUCACCUUAUGAAUCACCAUAUAUGAAAAAUUGAAACUAUAUGAAGAAAAUGAAACGAUCUCUUCCGCUAACAGAUAAUUAGGCUUAGACCAGCUCCAACGCUGAGUAAAUUGGGGGUUCAUCGAUAGUAAUAUUGGGCAUUUUUUGAUUUAAAAUAAAGAAUAAAAGCCCAAUAUUGAAAGCAGCGGUGCUUCCUGAUGGACUUAAAGCAGCGGUUCAGGAAGGGGUUCAUCGGCCACGUGUGAAGUUUUUAUUAGUUGAAGCAGAAAAAAGAGAGAAAAUAAAGUUAAGUGGUAUCGGAUUUUUUUUUUCUGGAAAAAAUAUGUUUGACAGAAAUUUGGACAUUUGGUUUAAUGUUUUUUUUUGUGUUUUAAUUAUAUGUAAUGAAUAAGUUUGUUUAAUCUUUUUCUCAUGUAUUUUUAAUUAUAUGUAAUGAACAAUUUAUUUGAAAUUAUAAUAAAUUAAAUGUUUAAAAUUGAUUUUCAGAAAAAAAAAAAUUUGAAAAAAAAAAUUACUAUAAUAAUUCAAAAAACUCCUUGAAGGGGUUCAGGGUUGGACACCAAUUUUUCCAUAGAGUUCAUCGAAAAAAAUUUUCUCAAAAAAAUUAAUAAAAAAAUUGAUAAAGCCUUCAAUGGGGUUCAAGGUUGGAGAUGGUCUUAUGGCUUCUGACACCGCUAGUAAAACACUAAUACACCAUCAAAAGACUGAUCUAAAAUCACAUUUUUAUAGUGAAGCUGUUAGGUAUAUGGCAUAUCUUUAUCUUUCUUCUUAUAUUUAGACUACAAUCUUUUCACUAUCAUCUUGUCACUUGAGAAAAAUUGUUACGUCAUCAUAUAUAGUUAGAGUACUUACUUUCAAAGAGCUGUAAAUGAUUCAAAGACACAAAAAGUACACCAAAAUUAAAGUUCGGUUCGGUUGAAUUAGGAUAUUCAAAUUUCGGUUUAGUUUAGGUAAAAAAAAAAAAAUGUCAAUGCCGAAUCUGGAGAGAAGUCCUUUACAGGUUCUAAUCCCCAACACGAUUGCGUAAGAACAAUAGAAGCUAUACACUACGCACCUCUAAGUACUAUAAAUUAAACAUGCAUUCGAUAAAGGCAUGCUGUUGUCUACACAACGACACGCGCGCUCUACAUAGACCGAUCACCGAUAGGAUUCAAACUUCACGCAUCACAAUUUUAAAUUGAGCUAAAGUUCAGACGCUAAGAGCAUGAUUAGAGAAAUCCACAUGAGUUUCUACUUGAUUAUUAUAGUGAUAAAGUUGAGGGUAGAAACUCAGCAAAAAACCUAAACUUUUUUGAUGUAUAUUGGAGAAACUCAAUCUCCACCGAAAAUCAAACCAUAAAAUCUAUACACAAAUCAAUUUACAAUUGGAAAAUUUCAUUUCUAAAACAGAGAAAUUUAGAUUUGGAAUCGAAAUUACCUUUUGAUCAGGAAAGGAUUCUGAGAAGUCGAAGAAGUCGAAAUCAUCUUCUGAAUUUCUCAUGAAACCAUCUAAGCAGAAUCUCUGCCGAUGAUGCGAUUGGACGAUUGGACGACAUGCAGACGGCGGUGAUGCAAGUUCUCUGCCGGAGACUUCGAAGAUUUUGACUAAACCCAAAAAUCAGCCAUCGGAGAAGUCGAGUUCUCUCUAUUGAAGAAGUUGAAGAAUUUUUUUUUUCAACGAGGGAGAGAAUGAUUGCAAAGAAAAACAUUUCCAUGCCAAAAAAAUGUCCCUUUUGUGAGAACCAAU
rnacentral:lncRNA from 1 species